UACGGAGGGUGCAAGCGUUAAUCGGAAUUACUGGGCGUAAAGCGCGCGUAGGCGGUCUUGUAAGUCGGAUGUGAAAGCCCCGGGCUUAACCUGGGAAUUGCAUUCGAUACUGCUUGACUAGAGUAUGGAAGAGGGAAGCGGAAUUCCGGGUGUAGCGGUGAAAUGCGUAGAUAUCCGGAGGAACACCAGUGGCGAAGGCGGCUUCCUGGUCCAAUACUGACGCUGAGGUGCGAAAGCGUGGGGAGCAAACAGG
rnacentral:rRNA from 1 species